GGUGAGUAACACGUAAACAACCUGCCUUCAGGAUGGGGACAACAGACGGAAACGACUGCUAAUACCGAAUAAGUUCCAAGAGCCGCAUGGCCCAUGGAAGAAAAGGUGGCCUCUACCUGUAAGCUAUCGCCUGAAGAGGGGUUUGCGUCUGAUUAGCUGGUUGGAGGGGUAACGGCCCACCAAGGCGACGAUCAGUAGCCGGUCUGAGAGGAUGAACGGCCACACUGGAACUGAGACACGGUCCAGACUCC
rnacentral:rRNA from 1 species